GGAUGUGAGGGUGAUCAAGCUGCAAAAUUUGUCACUCCAUUGGUUUUCAGGUUUAAUUCAGCUGAUCUGUCUAGGUAGGCAGAUGUUCCUUUCCUCCCUCAGUGCCCCAUGUGCAUUCAUCAUGAAACUAUACACUUGAUCAAAGAGGGCAAGUACCCCAAAUAGAGGAAGACUGUUUCUCAGUGAAGAGUGUAGGGGUAGCUCUACUCCCUUGAUAGAGCCUCCAAAGAAGCUCUCUAGAAGAUGCUGUUCAGUCCUAUGACAGUGAUGACUUGGAGAUUGCUUUAUAGCCAAAAGACAAGGAUAAGAAUAGACCAACCUGGAACAAUUU
rnacentral:snRNA from 1 species